rnacentral:lncRNA from 1 species
AUGGAUCACCCCUCCAUCCCUUUCCACAAAACAGUAUUUUAUAAUAAUGAUUAUCACUGUGAUUUUACGCAGGCCAUGGUGAAGUUGUUUUGGAUAAAGAUCAACUACAGUGAGACCAUCCCAAAUAUAACAGUUCCCUGCCCCUUGAAGCUCACCAAGAACUGCAAAGCAGAUUUCCUGGUCUUUUGUGAGGUAACUGGAGAAUCAUGCUUGAUGGCAGUCGUGGCAGAAGAUUCUGCCAAUGAAGUGAAUAUGUUGGUGCAAAGACUACGUACCUUCUAUGGAGUACACCUAAAGCAGUUACAAUGCAGGCCACUCACGAAUAUUGUGGAUUUUGCAAGAAACAGUCUUUUCAUGAAUGACAACUGGAGACCACAAUACGUUAUUGAGGACGACCACUUCUGGCUGCACAUCAUUGUUGACCAAGCACACCUGUCUGAAAAUGAUUGGCUGGUGGAAUGGCAGAAGCUUAUGAAGUUGUUGUUUACUCUGAUGGACCAAGGGGUCCCGUUUCUCUUCUACAAGCGAACAGGGCAGCCCGAGAUAAUUGGGCAGAUAAAGAUGGGAAACGAACAGCUUGACACGAUCCUGUUCAAGCGCAACAAGCCUGGUGUUCACAUCACCUGUCUGCAAGCACAUUCUCUGCUCAAACAGAAUUAUGGUGAAAAAUGUUUCAGUACAAUUACACAACUGAUCGCACAAUGGCCGAUGUACAUGGCAAUCUUCACCUUUUUUAUAGCCAUCUUCAUUUAUCAGUGUGGCAGAGCAUCGGUUUUGAGGUAGGGAACUCACGGGUGAUAAAGAUUGUGGUCAAGUUUCAUCGAAAUUGUGUGUGUGUGUGUGUGGGGGGG